GCCGGGAUGGCGGAAUUGGUAGACGCACAUGAUUCAGGGUCAUGCGCCCGCAAGGGUGUGCAGGUUCAAGUCCUGUUCCCGGCA
rnacentral:tRNA from 1 species